rnacentral:lncRNA from 1 species
CCAACGCCGUCCUCCCCUGCGGCCCCCAAGCCUAACACCGUCCUCCCCUGCGGCCCCCUCGCCUAACGCCGUCCUCCCCUGCGGCCCCCUAGCCUAACGCCGUCCUCCCCUGCGGCCCCCCAGCCCAACACCGUCCUCCCCUGCGGCCCCCCUAGCCCAACGCCGCCCUCCCCUGCGGCCCCCCUAGCCCAACGCCGCCCUCCCCUGCGGCCCCCUAGCCUAACGCCGUCCUCCCCUGCGGCCCCCCAGCCCAACGCCGUCCUCCCCUGCGGGCCGCCUAGCCCAACGCCGUCC